CCUACCCCCUAGAGGCCUUUUGGGUGUGGCUGCUGUGUCACAUGUGCAUCAGUAGCUGGCAGAGAGAAGCCAUGUCUACACUCGGUGUUCUGACCUUUGAACAUCUGAAUGAUUAGUAGCCUAAUACU